rnacentral:rRNA from 1 species
AGGGAAAGCUGGAGGCAGGCCUAACACAUGCAAGUCGAGCGGAUGAAGGGAGCUUGCUCCUGGAUUCAGCGGCGGACGGGUGAGUAAUGCCUAGGAAUCUGCCUGGUAGUGGGGGAUAACGUCCGGAAACGGGCGCUAAUACCGCAUACGUCCUGAGGGAGAAAGUGGGGGAUCUUCGGACCUCACGCUAUCAGAUGAGCCUAGGUCGGAUUAGCUAGUUGGUGGGGUAAAGGCCUACCAAGGCGACGAUCCGUAACUGGUCUGAGAGGAUGAUCAGUCACACUGGAACUGAGACACGGUCCAGACUCCUACGGGAGGCAGCAGUGGGGAAUAUUGGACAAUGGGCGAAAGCCUGAUCCAGCCAUGCCGCGUGUGUGAAGAAGGUCUUCGGAUUGUAAAGCACUUUAAGUUGGGAGGAAGCGCAGUAAGUUAAUACCUUGCUGUUUUGACGUUACCAACAGAAUAAGCACCGGCUAACUUCGUG